rnacentral:rRNA from 1 species
GCGUAACACGUGAGCAACCUGCCUUAGUACAUCGGAAUAACAGCUGGAAACGGCUGCUAAUACCGGAUAAGACCACACCAAGGCAUCUUGGAGAGGUCAAAGCGAAUUAGCGGUAUAAGAUGGGCUCGCGUCCAAUUAAGCUAGUUGGUGGGGUAACGGCCCACCAAGGCAACGAUUGGUAGCCGACUUGAGAGAGUGAUCGGCCACACUGGAACUGAGACACGGUCCAGACUCCUACGGGAGGCAGCAGUAGGGAAUAUUGGGCAAUGGAGGAAACUCUUUAACCCCAGCAAUGCCGCGUGAAUGAUGAAGGUCUUAUGGAUUGUAAAGUUCUUUAAUUGGGGACGAAAGAAAUGACGGUACCCAAAGAAUAAGCCCCGGCUAACUAUGUGCCAGCAGCUGC